rnacentral:lncRNA from 1 species
AUGGUUCCGUCCGGCCCCUCCUCCCGGCUCGCGGGGCAGGCCGGGAAGGCGGCGGCGGCCGGGCCGGACCCCCGCCAGGUAGCGCGGCUGGCUUUGCGGCCUAGGGCGAGCAGGAGCCUCCCCGACCGAGCCUCCCGCCGGGCCAGCGCCGCUCCCGGGCCUCGGACCCCGAAAGCCCAAGGGCAUCGGGACCCUUUCCUCGGCGGCGGAAUACCCUAGCAGUGUCAGAGGAGACGCUUCGUAUCCUAGUCUCGUUUAAGGUAUUUGCGUUCUGUUAAACCGUUACGGACGAGUAAUGAUUUCAAUGUCGCCAUUCCACCUUCCCUUUUCCCCACAGUGCAUAAAUGUACUA